UUUCCCCAUUUUAAUAACUUCUUUUCCUCUGCUCUCUCGAACCUUCUUGAUGGAAGACGCGAAGAAGACCGAGUGGAUCGAAUCGAAUAUAGUUUAAACUCUUGAUGAAGGAAGUUAAUAAGAGAACUCGAAAGAGGAGGAACGCACCUACAAAACCCUAGGUUCGCGAUAAUACUCCAGGAGCGGAAAGGAUUCGACGUAGAGUGAAAAAUAGGAAGAUUUUUCGGUGAUAAAUGUGAAUUAGGUCGCGUGUUUGGUGGAAAAGGAAGAUUCAAGAGUUGAAUCGGUGAAAAGGUGCCAAAAUGAGGAUGUAAUUGGUGGAAAAGAUUAUAGCAAGCACAAAUCAAGUCGCAAAGUGUGAUUUGGUGAUGUGAAUCACGACGAUGAGGGCUCUGUGAGAGUGAUGAGGUAAGGAGAUUCACGAGCUCGAGAAGAAGCUAGGGUUAGGUUGUUGGACUCGUGAAAGCUCAAACCGUUGUCGCUGCGUGACUGAGCUAUUGUUCCAUAACCACCAUUGGGUUUUCUCACCUCCUACAAACGGUUAGCUUAUCUUGCGGACUUCGUAAGUCAUUCUUGUGAAAAUGGAGAUGAUAACUAAUGUUACUGAGUAUGAAGCAAUUGCAAAGGAAAAAUUGCCAAAGAUGGUUUAUGACUACUAUGCAUCAGGGGCAGAGAAUCAGUGGACUUUGGUAGAGAAUCGAAUUGCAUUCGCAAGGAUUCUCUAUUGAAUGGGUGAAGGGAAAAUAAGGUGGGAAAGCAAAUGGAGGAAGGAGGAAGUUUUGUCAAUAAAAACACGUGACUUGUAGCUUCCAAAAAGUGAAAAAGUCUUGAUGUCUAAAAGUGCUGCAAUGCUGGAUUUCAAUUUCAUCACAUAAAGUUUCUUGUUUCAGGUUCUUAUCUUUGCUUGUAUUGUUAGAGGGGCUAUAAGGAUUCAACCUCAGAGUAUCCAUUGAUUCAACACUUCUUUGAUAUUGUGCAGGGCUUGAGGUUAGGCAGCAACUACUGCACCUUUUUAAGGAGUUAUGGAAAUGAUAUGAUUAACAUCGACCAUUGUUGUUACCAUCAUUUAAGAGUAUUAAUCCAUCUAAAUAGGGUUCUAAAAUGUUGUCAAAGCUAGUAAGAUGAAAAUUUGGUGUUUAAGAGGCAGAAUGAGCUUAAAGAAAUUUACAGAGGAGUUCACAUGGAUGUCGAUAGUGAAUCUGUAAUGUUGAUCUGUCUCAUUUGCUUCAAAACAUGGAUGGUCAGAUAAGACAAGCCAAGGAGCGAGCUCUAAGCGUAAGGAUAUCUUAGAUAUGACUGGGAAUCUUGUUUUGUAAAUAAAUAGUUGUUGGAAUUAGUUUUUAUAAUUUUAUUCUGGUUUUAACAGUGUAGUCCAUAAUGGCUUGACAUACUGUAAAGUUGAAAUUUAAUGUUAGAAUAUAAUAGGUUAUGAUUUCGAGUUA